rnacentral:rRNA from 1 species
GACGAACGCUGGCGGCGUGCCUAAUACAUGCAAGUCGAACGCAGUGGGGACGGGUGAGUAACACGUGGGUAACCUCCCAUCAGAGGGGAUAACACUUGGCAACAGGUGCUAAACCGAUAUUGAUGGUUGGACUCGCGGUGCAUUAGCUAGUUGGUGAGGUAACGGCUCACCAAGGCCACGAUGCAUACUCGUCCUGAGAGGGUGAGCGGCCACACUGGGACUGAGACACGGCCCAGACUCCUACGGGAGGCAGCAGUAGGGAAUCUUCGGCAAUGUACGAAAGGCUGACCGAGCAACGCCGCGUGAGUGAAGAAGGUUUUCGGAUCGUAAAACUCUGUUGUUAGAGAAGCGGUAUCUAACCAGAAAGCCACGGCUAACUACGUGCCAGCAGCCGCGGUAAUUC